UAGAGACUUAGCUGUAAGAAGGUUGUUAAAUAUGAAAGAAUCAAUCUUGAUUUUUCUAAAACCCCUGCUGUCUUUGUUCAGCCACUCAAUUUGAAUCUUGUACGACAUGAUUCCUGAAGAAGCAAGGCUAGAGCUGGCUGGAAAAAAAAGUGACCAAGCAUUUCAGCUUUUCUCAGCUCUGCUGGAUAAUGGAAGAGAACAGCAGCAAGACUCCUUUCUUGCCAUUCAGAAUUGAGGAGAAGCCUUCUCAAAGAAAUAUCCAUGAAAUCCUUGGGCAUUCUGAAGCCAUCUUUCUCCAUUACCCAAACAUCAGCAUCUACUGUUCCUUGGCAGAUUUCACAAAGGGCUGCACACCGGGAGACGAAAAGCUAUGCACUAGUCAUUUUGAUUCAUAAAACAGACCUUUGCAGAAGAAAAGCAAAGUAAUAUGCAUAUAUUAUGCACUUUGAACAUCUUUCAGCUGAUACUGGGAAGAGAAAAACUCAAGUUAUUUCUCUACAGAAGAAACCUAAAUGAUUGUGAAUUAUCUGUGACUUUUAGGCAUUGCUGUGGGUAAAAAUGGAAACAGAAAUGGUUGAAGACAUGUGACAUGGGGCUCAUUCAAAGUGGGUGCUGAAACAAUGUAUUGCAUAAGCCAGGUAUCCUGGACCAACUCUGUCCUAUGAAAAAGAGGAAUUGUAAGACUAACCUAUCGGUUUUGGUAAGCAAAAAAGAAAAACAAAGUGCCAUGAGAAAUAAUAUCUCUAACCUUCUCCAUAUAUGUAUUUGUAAUCAGAAUUAUGCUACCUGUAUCACUUGGAACAUCGCAGAAAGAUAUUGGGGCAAACAAGUUGCAGAACAAUAAAACCUCUGGGUGCCUAGAAGAAGCUAACAGAAAUAGCUAAAUUUGGAUACUCCCAAAAUCUAGGGCACAGAAACUCUCCCUUAAAAAAAAUACAGCUGAAGAUAAGUUUACAAUCAAAAACUAAAAUUCACAAAGUAUAUGAUUCACUAUGAAGGUUGGCAGAGCCAAAACAGGAAAAGUACCACUACAAGACCUUGGAAUAAUGCAAUGAUUUGAAACAUACCACAAAACAAGUACAGCAAUUCUAAAGCUCAAUAAUAGAUAACACUUCUGGUAUGUCUGGCAGUCUUCUGAGCAUUUUCAUUCAUUUAAUAAUUUAUUUACCAUUGCAACAGCUCCUAAGGUAGAUAUUACUACUAUUCUUAUCCUACAGAUAAGUAAACUGAGCUUAUGAGUGGUUAAGUGACAGACACAAAAUUACAAAGCUAGAACGUGGUGGUAAGAAACUUAAAUGUAGGCAAUCUGCCUCUAGAAUCUGUAUUUAAAAACUAUGCUCUACUACCAUUAUAGUAAGAAUAAAAUAACUACCAUUUGUUUAGUACUUAGUAUGUGACAGAAAAUGCUUUAAGUGAUUUUCUCAUACUGACUUAUUUAAUACUCACAAUAAACCUACGAAGUAAGUAUUAUUAUAAUUCCUAUGUUACAGAAGAGAAACUGAAGCAUAGAGAGAUUGUCAUAUUUGUUAGGGCUGCCAGGAGAAAAUAUCAUAGACUGGGUAUCUUAUAAACAACAGAAAUUUAUUUCUCACAACUCUGGAGGUUGGGAAGUCCAAGAUCAAGGUGCCAGUAGAUUCACUUCAGUAUCCAGUGAGGAUUGUCUUCUGGUUCAUAGAAGGCAUCUUCUUGCUGCAUCUUUGCAUAGCAGGAAGGACAAACAAGCUCCCCUGGGCUUUUUUUACAAGAGCACUAAUCCUAUUCAUAAAGGCUCCACCCUCAUGACCUAAUCACCUUCUAAAGACCCCACUUCUUAAUAUUUUCUCAUUGGCAAUUAGGUUUUAACAUAUGAAUUUGGGGAGACAUGAAAAUUCAGACCAUAGCAGAUGUUGAGUAACUAUCCCCAGUUACACAGCUAGAAGUGACAGAGUCAGUCUUUCUGGAGUUCAUGUCUACUAUGCUAUACUAUCUACCAUGAUGGCACAGAAAGUUUGAAAGCAAAGGAGAGAAAAGGAGAUUGGAAAGUAAUAUACCCCAAGAAGAUACUAAUCAAGAAGAAUGUGUCACAAUAUACAUAUUAGACAAAAUAGACCUUAAGUUAAAAAGCAGGGUAGGUAUAUACAGAGUUAUUAUAUAAUGAUAAACACAUUCACUCAUAAGAUUUAACAAUCCUGAACUUGCAUGUGCUUAACAACAUAGCCUCAAAACAUAUACAGCAGAAUUAAAUGGAAUAACACAGAGAAAUUGACUAAUUUAUAAUAGCAAUAGGAGAAUUAAGAAACAUUUUUCAGAAACUGAGAGGUCAAGAAAGCCAAGAAUUAGUGAACUUAAAGCAACUAAAGUCCAGAGAGAUAUAGUAAAGAGUUUUAGUGGCAUACUGCUAGAUAGAGCUAAAUCCAGAAACAGUAACAUUUCUUUAUAUUUGCAUAGUUCUUUGUAUUUAAAAAAAUAAUUUCACAGAUAACAUGAUUUUAUUUUAAACCUCCAAGCAUUGAGAACACUUCUGGCAUGUCAGACAAUCUUUUAAGCAUUUUAAAUAACCUGUGUUGAGGAGACAAGGGAGUUUCCUUCCUAUGUUUGUCGACAGGCAGAAGAUAAAAAUUUGAAAAAAGGUUAUGGCAAAGGGUUAUAUCCACUUUUAUAUCAGAUCUCGUCACACCUCAUUCUCUGCCUAGGCUCACACACACUGACAAAAGAGAAUUUUAUUCUAAUCACCCAAAAAAUUUUCACAUGAGAAACAUACUAGAGAAAACUUCCCUUACUUCAGAAUUCUUUGAUACCUUCAUAAUAGGGGCUUUGUAAUAUGGAAUCAGUCUGGCUCUUUUAGGUGCUAUCAAGUUACUGCAAGUAGUGAAAGGAAUGGAACUAGCGAAAAAGUGAGAUACAAUCUGCGCUCAUGGAGCCUGGACUUGAAGAAGGUCAUUCCAGAUUUGCAACAGCACUAUAGAUCAUGGCAGCCAGAUUCAAUGGAAUUUUACCAUUGAUCAUUACCAUUGAUCAUUAACAUAACAUAGUUCUCCCUUGUUCUGUACUCUUCUAUUUCCUCCUCUUUUACCAUCUAGAUUUACUCUGCAUUUUGUCUCUACAUCACAACUUUCCUUCAUUAAAACUCCAGUUCACAUAACACUUUGGCUUUGUUGUAAUCUCAUGAUCCUUAUGAUCAUCUACCAAUGGCCUAAUACUCUCCAAAUUUCCCAAAUAUCCCUAAAAGUGAACAGAUUACUUUCAGAAUACUUUUUCAUCCCAGGCGACCUCAUAGGUAGCUGUCUAGCUUACUGUUCAUUGUCUUUGGGUCAGGCACCCACACAGUCUGCUAUGGCCAAUGAAGACAUAGCCUCAAACAUGUCUAGUCAAUAUGGGUUUUUCCUUUUCCUGUGAAAAAACUAUGGGGUUAGCACAAUUGUGAGGCUUCAAUAAAGAAAUUUUUUUUAUACAAGUUUACCUGAAUUCUAAAAUAAAAUAGAAAACUAUUUUUAAGAAAACAGAAAGCUUUUUCAUAUUACUACCACAUCAGUCAAUUCUUUUUCCACACCAUAGUUAUUUCUCAAGCAAUAACCUGCAUUACCAUAUUAUUUUUAUAGAAGACUAUUAGAUGCAUAUUGCUACCUACUAGGAAAAUGAUGAUUCCAAAGUUUUUUUUUUUUAGGUUCACUAAUGUUUAAUUUACAAUACAAUUUUGCUUUAAUGCUCUAUUUUCCUAAAUAUAAGGAACUAAAGUAAUGAUGUUAUAAAAUUAAGUAGAAUCAUCUCUUGAGCUAUGAUUCUGUAGACCUGCUUAAAAUUAUAACAAGUUAAAAAAUAGGAAGAAUUCAAUAGUGAAGCCACCUGGACUGGACCUGAAAUUUUCUUUAUGGGAAGAUUUUUUUAAUUAUUAUACUUUAAGUUCCAGGGUACAUAGGCACAACGUGAAGGUUUGUUAUAUAUGUAUACAUGUGCCAUGUUGUUGUGCUGCACCCGUUAACUCAUCAUUUACAUUAGGCUUAUCUCUUAAUGCUAUCCCUCCUCCCUUCCCCCACCCCAUGACAGGCCCUGAUGUGUGAUGUUCCCCACCCUGUGUCCAAGAGUUCUCAUUGUUCAAUUCCCACCUAUGAGUGAGAACGUGCAGUGUUUGGUUUUCUGUCUUUGCAAUAGUUUGCUCAGAAUGAUGGUUUCCAGCUUCCUGCAUGUCCCUACAAAGGACAUGAACUCAUCAUUUUUUAUGGCUGCAUAGUAUUCCAUGGUGUAUAUGUA
rnacentral:lncRNA from 1 species